rnacentral:rRNA from 1 species
UAAUUGAAGAGUUUGAUCAUGGCUCAGAUUGAACGCUGGCGGCAGGCUUAACACAUGCAAGUCGAGCGGUAGCACAGGGGAGCUUGCUCCCUGGGUGACGAGCGGCGGACGGGUGAGUAAUGUCUGGGAAACUGCCUGAUGGAGGGGGAUAACUACUGGAAACGGUAGCUAAUACCGCAUAACGUCGCAAGACCAAAGAGGGGGACCUUCGGGCCUCUUGCCAUCAGAUGUGCCCAGAUGGGAUUAGCUAGUAGGUGGGGUAAUGGCUCACCUAGGCGACGAUCCCUAGCUGGUCUGAGAGGAUGACCAGCCACACUGGAACUGAGACACGGUCCAGACUCCUACGGGAGGCAGCAGUGGGGAAUAUUGCACAAUGGGCGCAAGCCUGAUGCAGCCAUGCCGCGUGUGUGAAGAAGGCCUUCGGGUUGUAAAGCACUUUCAGCGAGGAGGAAGGUGGUGAGCUUAAUACGCUCAUCAAUUGACGUUACUCGCAGAAGAAGCACCGGCUAACUCCGUGCCAGCAGCCGCGGUAAUACGGAGGGUGCAAGCGUUAAUCGGAAUUACUGGGCGUAAAGCGCACGCAGGCGGUUUGUUAAGUCAGAUGUGAAAUCCCCGGGCUCAACCUGGGAACUGCAUUUGAAACUGGCAAGCUAGAGUCUCGUAGAGGGGGGUAGAAUUCCAGGUGUAGCGGUGAAAUGCGUAGAGAUCUGGAGGAAUACCGGUGGCGAAGGCGGCCCCCUGGACGAAGACUGACGCUCAGGUGCGAAAGCGUGGGGAGCAAACAGGAUUAGAUACCCUGGUAGUCCACGCUGUAAACGAUGUCGAUUUGGAGGUUGUGCCCUUGAGGCGUGGCUUCCGGAGCUAACGCGUUAAAUCGACCGCCUGGGGAGUACGGCCGCAAGGUUAAAACUCAAAUGAAUUGACGGGGGCCCGCACAAGCGGUGGAGCAUGUGGUUUAAUUCGAUGCAACGCGAAGAACCUUACCUACUCUUGACAUCCAGAGAACUUUCCAGAGAUGGAUUGGUGCCUUCGGGAACUCUGAGACAGGUGCUGCAUGGCUGUCGUCAGCUCGUGUUGUGAAAUGUUGGGUUAAGUCCCGCAACGAGCGCAACCCUUAUCCUUUGUUGCCAGCGGUUCGGCCGGGAACUCAAAGGAGACUGCCAGUGAUAAACUGGAGGAAGGUGGGGAUGACGUCAAGUCAUCAUGGCCCUUACGAGUAGGGCUACACACGUGCUACAAUGGCGUAUACAAAGAGAAGCGAUCUCGCGAGAGCAAGCGGACCUCAUAAAGUACGUCGUAGUCCGGAUUGGAGUCUGCAACUCGACUCCAUGAAGUCGGAAUCGCUAGUAAUCGUAGAUCAGAAUGCUACGGUGAAUACGUUCCCGGGCCUUGUACACACCGCCCGUCACACCAUGGGAGUGGGUUGCAAAAGAAGUAGGUAGCUUAACCUUCGGGAGGGCGCUUACCACUUUGUGAUUCAUGACUGGGGUGAAGUCGUAACAAGGUAACCGUAGGGGAACCUGCGGUUGGAUCACCUCCUUA